rnacentral:lncRNA from 1 species
UUAAUGAGUAAAAUAUAUGAAUAGGACAAACAAGGCCUAGAAAGGAUCCUUUAAAAUGCAUUUAUUUUAUAUUGCUUGUUUUUUGUUUUUUAAUACCACAGGGCUGGAAUCAAUUGAAAAUACAGUCUUGACUUCCUCAGUGCACAAGCCACUGGAAAUCUAUAAUAACCUCUGGGGAAAGAAAAUGGAAAUUUGCAGGUUCAACAACUAAUAAUUUUUUUUUAGAAAGUACCUGAAGGUUGAUGCCUUGCAAAGCUGAUUCUGGAAGUGGUGUUUUGGAAACAAAGAAGAAAGGAAUAUGAGAGAAAGAGUUAGGUUUAAUGGCAUACUGCGGUAAGAAAGAUGAGAAACAUUCAGUGUACCAGUGAGCCAGCUAGCAGGGAGAGAAGAAUUGUUUUAGUAGUACUCGAAGGAUGAAACUAGAGCACUGAUGAGCUUAAGGAUUUGAUGUAGAAGAAAAGGAGAAAAAGAAAUGAUGAUUUUUGCCUUGGAGAUAAGAUUGACAGAGAAAGCAGCCUGAAGGAAGAUGAGUUAAACUGAGUGUGAUUUUAAGAAUUGUUUCUGGAGAGAGGGGAGCAGAACUCAAAAGAAGAUGAGGAUGUACAUCUUAUAUCCGACUGUCAUACAAUACAGUAAGAACAACUUAAACAAAACUAUAAGCCCUGAUUCUCAUCACGGCAUAGAAAGGAUGAAUAACUGUUACAUAUUAGGGAAGAUAUAAAGAACUGCCACAUGGGCAGCAGAGGAAGCCACUGUUGAGACUAGGACAGCAGAACAAACAAUUGAGAAAAAAUAUAGAAAUGGACAAAGUAGUCUAAGAAACAAAAUUUGGUCCUUCCUUAAUCUGCUGACAUGUUGCAUUUGAUCUAUUUAGUUAUUAGUAUCACAGUAAGAAAUCUAUGUGAGAGUACUUGCAAAAAAAAAAAAUCCAGACUAUUCACUAUAACAAACUCUUAUUUGUAGAACAACUUCUAGAUUUUGUAGCCCUUAAGACAAUGUGAAUUCAAAUGUUGAGUUUGAAGCAACUCUGCCGCAGCACCAACUUGAAAGUUAGCAGUAAGCCAGAUCUGAAGACUUUUCUGUGAAAUUAAUUUAAUUGUGACCUAAACUGCUUGGAAAACUCACUUCAGGUGAAUAGAGGUGAGGCAGUGUACAACUUGUGAACACUGAAUAUUUUUCUGUAAGUCUGUUUGAAUUUCUAGCGCAUUUUU